GAUGAACGCUGGCGGCGUGCCUAAUACAUGCAAGUCGAGCGAACAGACGAGGAGCUUGCUCCUCUGACGUUAGCGGCGGACGGGUGAGUAACACGUGGAUAACCUACCUAUAAGACUGGGAUAACUUCGGGAAACCGGAGAUAAUACCGGAGAAUAUAUUGAACCGCAUGGUUCAUUAGUGAAAGACGGUUUUGCUGUCUCUUAUAGAUGGAUCUGGGCCGCAUUAGCUAGUUGGUAAGGUAACGGCUUACCAAGGCAACGAUGCGUAGCCGAACUGACAGGGUGAUCGGCCACACUGGAACUGAGACACGGUCCAGACUCCUACGGGAGGCAGCAGUAGGGAAUCCUCCGCAAUGGGCGAAAGCCUGACGGAGCAACGCCGCGUGAGUGAUGAAGGUCUUCGGAUCGUAAUACUCUGCUAUUAGGGAAGAACAAAUGUGUAAGUAACUAUGCACGUAUUGACGGUACCUAAUCAGAAAGCCACGGCUAACUACGUG
rnacentral:rRNA from 1 species